rnacentral:rRNA from 1 species
AGAGCGAACGCUGGCGGCAGGCCUAACACAUGCAAGUCGAGCGCGUGUAGCAAUACACGAGCGGCAGACGGGAGAGUAACACGUGGGAACGCGCCCUUCGGUUCGGAAUAACUCAGGGAAACUUGAGCUAAUACCGGAUACGCCCUUACGGGGAAAGAUUUAUUGCCGAAGGAACGGCCCGCGUCCGAUUAGCUAGUUGGUGAGGUAACGGCUCACCAAGGCGACGAUCGGUAGCUGGUCUGAGAGGAUGACCAGCCUCACUGGGACUGAGACACGGCCCAGACUCCUACGGGAGGCAGCAGUGGGGAAUAUUGGACAAUGGGCGCAAGCCUGAUCCAGCCAUGCCGCGUGGAUGAUGAAGGCCUUAGGGUUGUAAAGUCCUUUUAACGGGGAAGUAUAAUGACGGUACCGUAGAAUAAGCCCGGCUAACUUCGCGCCAGCAGCCGC